AUCACUUUAUUGAUAAAACUCUCGGGCUUAAACCUGACCCAUAAACACAAUCUCGGAUCUUAUAAAGUUUUUAUAACCCAUUAAUUAUUUGAACUCGAUGAGACUCUAAUUGCCAUCGUCUCUCUACCUUCAUAUACUCCCACUCUCUGCCCCUUCCUAUACUCCCGCUGAAGAACGGAUACCACAAUAGUGAAGGCGGUGGUGGUGGAUCAUCGUCUCUUGCCCCUUCCUGUAUCAUCGUCUCUCAAGGGGCUUCAUGUAUCCGCUCAUUCCGGCGAUCUUCCCGUCGUCCAGAAGUUUCUCCAUGAAAAUCCUUAUCUAUGCAUCGAUCGCAACCCGAUUGUACAAAUUAGGGCCAUUCAAAUUCUUUAUGUGGUUUAUUGCUAACUCGCUGAAGUGUUAAUUACCAGAACAAAGUAUACAUAGACUGAAAAUUGAAUCUACAUGUGGAGUUUAUUUGAGGAUAUGGAGGUGUAGUCCCAGAUUACAUCAAGUAGUCCUAGAUUGCUUAUAGGCAAUCCUUACUCAGGUACUCUAGAGUAUAUAUUUUAAGAUAUAUAUUUCAGUUGAAAACAAUGUCUUACUCGCUAACCACAAAAUUGUAAGUUUGAAUACUCAAUCUCUUUUGGAAUUAGCUCAUUAAACCCUAAAAUAAAUACAUAGGCAGAAGCACAAGUUUUCAGUUUUACAUCCAUACACUUUCAGGUAUAUUCUUUUAGGUUUUAAGAACAAAAUUUUCAUUAUACUGUAUCUUUUGUCUUUCUCUGUGUGCAGUUAGUUUCUAGAAGUUUUGGAUCUCUCUCGAUAGAAUAUUAGAUAAUUACUUGCAUUUAUCACUCAAAUGAAACAGAAUCUCAUUGGGAAAGAUAGCAUAUGAUUAAUUCAUUAACUUUCUAAUUUAUAGAAUGACUUUAAUUCUCUAAUAGACGGAAUCUGUAUAUAAAAAUAAUAAUGUUUUUGGUGUUUUUUUUAUCUUGGAUAAUUCAUCAACUCAUUAUUCGGGUUUGUAGAUUUUUUUUAUCAACGUUUGGCCGCUCUUGCUAUUAUGACUCUGAAUGGAAGCCAUCAGUUUGGGAAGCCUAUGAGAGUUAAUCAGGCAUAUGCCAGUCAAAGAGAAGAUACGUCAGGCCUAUCGAAGUUAAUUUGGACAUAUGUCGGUAACCAAAGAGAAGAUACAUUAGGUUUGUUAAUGUAAUAAUUCUUAUUAUGAAGCCGUGACUACCUGCAUUUUCUAUGUAACUUAAGGUUAGCAGGUCUCACAUGUGUCAUUUAGUUUUGUAAUGAACGCUUUUAAAAUAUAUAAUCAUUUCCUUUAAAAAAAAAAUCAUUCAUUUUGGUGUAUGCAAAUUGCAUUCUGUUGGAUCUUUUAUGAGAAAAAAUGCUACUUCUGGUACUUGUAGAUUUGUGAGCCUGCGAUUGUAAGGUAGGUUAUUUGUUCAUAUCAUUUAUAUUGUUGCUGCAUUGGACAUGUUUAAAUGCACAUAUCUUUCAGUUUGUGUAAAUAUUAGUUGGAUGGCUAAUUUUAACGGUUCCAACUUAAAGAGUUCAAGUUGUGUAUUUUGGUUAGGAAGGAUGUCGUUUAUUUAAUGAGAAUUGUAAAUUGUUAAGACACGGUUACCUAAGAUGGUUUUUUUUUCUUUAAGAAUAUUAGAUCUCGAUCAAGUAGGGGAAGUAGAGCAACUGCUAUUCAUAUAUAUUUUCUUAUUUGAUGGCAAUCCAGGUUAGUCUGCUGAUGAAGCUCGCGGACAGUUUUUAACAAAUGUUCUUGAUAUAUAUGCUGAGAUCGGGAUAUCAGACAAAUGGACUGCUAUGUUAAUACCUUUAAAAAUUACAUGCUUACUGAUUUUGCUGCUUAUUAUUCUCUAAAAGCUCUAAACUGGACCGUGUAAGAUUCUUGACCUUAUUAAAUGGUGAAAGGUACAAUUCUUUAAAAGGUA